rnacentral:piRNA from 1 species
GAAUGGGGCAAAGGCCUUGCUUGAC